rnacentral:rRNA from 1 species
GAGUUUGAUCCUGGCUCAGGACGAACGCUGGCGGCGCGCCUAACACAUGCAAGUCGAACGGAGUCAAGAGGAGCUUGCUUUUCUUGACUUAGUGGCGAACGGGUGAGUAACGCGUGGGUAACCUGCCUUGUACAGGGGGAUAACAGUUGGAAACGGCUGCUAAUACCGCAUAAGCGCACAGCAUCGCAUGAUGCAGUGUGAAAAACUCCGGUGGUAUAAGAUGGACCCGCGUUGGAUUAGCUAGUUGGUGAGGUAACGGCCCACCAAGGCGACGAUCCAUAGCCGACCUGAGAGGGUGACCGGCCACAUUGGGACUGAGACACGGCCCAAACUCCUACGGGAGGCAGCAGUGGGGAAUAUUGCACAAUGGGGGAAACCCUGAUGCAGCGACGCCGCGUGAAGGAAGAAGUAUCUCGGUAUGUAAACUUCUAUCAGCAGGGAAGAUAAUGACGGUACCUGACUAAGAAGCCCCGGCUAACUACGUGCCAGCAGCCGCGGUAAUUC